GUGUCCACUCCUCUUGGCUUCAACCUCUUAAAGAGGAGGUGGAUAAUUUAUGGGUGUCGUGUUGGGUGUGUGAGGCUUUCGCCUAGAACAAACCUUGUGUUGCAUGUGCCGUUCUAUCCCAUAUGCUGGGGCUGUGUAUAACUGUACAUCAACUAUUGAGCAAUGAGCUAUAUGCUGUACUGCCAGGGAUGCUAUGGUAAACUACAAGUGAAUAUGUGAUAUGUCUGAUCAUUCGUAUGGAUUAUGGACUAUGAAAACGUCCUGAUGAGCAGAAUCCAAUCAGAAAACGCAUGCUCGAUUUUCCAUUCCUUAGCAUAAGAAAAGCAUGCUAGCUCAAUAGUCAGUACAGUACCCACUACCCAGAGACGUCAGGAUGCUGAUUGCGAAUUUUUUGAAUUGCCGAGCUCCGACCACGCCUAACACGAGUCUUGGCACGAGGUGGAAGUCGCGCCUUUUGAGCAUAAUCCCAUUCUGUCCUUCAGCGCAGCGAGCAGACUACUAGUAGUAAUUUUAUUUUAGGAGAAAAGCAAACUGCCAAUACUAAUUUAGUCAUAAUUUUCUCACAUCAGAGUAUUGGACUAUCUAAACCCAUCCCUAGUAGCUCCAAAUUCCAA
rnacentral:lncRNA from 1 species